rnacentral:rRNA from 1 species
CCCUUCGAUGUUCUGGGCCGCACGCGUGCUACAAUGAUGGAAUCAAAGAGUAAAGUGGGUGUUGGGGUGUGCAAGCAUGUCAGCAUUUGGUUGUGACUUGAUUGAAAGGUCUGGUUAAUCUUUGGAAAUUUCAUCGUACUAUGAAUUGUUGAUUGCAAUUAUUUGACAUGAAAUAGGAAUGCCUAGUAGGUGUAAUUCAUCAGAUUACGCCGAUUACGUCCCUGCCCUUGUACACACCGCCCGUCGCUCCUACCGAUUGGAAUAAACGGUGAAGAAUUUGGAGGUUAAGAGUGGGUCUUGAUCUACUUUUGAUUGAAGUUUUCUAAAUCUCUUGUUCUAGAGGAAGGAGAAGUCGUAACA